ensembl:lncRNA
GAUAAAAUUAAUCAGCUGUCUUUUAACUCUGAUUCAUUUUUCCUUUAAUUCAAUUUACCAAAAUGUGUGGGCAGAGCCUGAGCCUCUGGGCAUAUUAACAUUAAUAAAACACAAUUAAGCAAAUGUUAUUAUGUUGCCAGCAACAAAAAGAAUGCCCCUGAGUGUACAACUUCCCCUCGCUGUAAUAAAUAUGCAGACAUGAGAACUGUGCCUUGCAACCCGUUGCUUAAACAGCUUUAAAAAACCAAAAUACCCACUUUGGUGAAUACAAAGAAGCCAUCGGGAGUAGACCAAAAGUGAACGCACCGAGGCCUUUUGCUGGAAGAGAAGGCAUGAGAGGAGCAGUGCGCCACAGUCAAAACUCCACCCUCAGCAAAAAGAACAGAGGAACAAAAGCAGCGAGGUGCAGCAAGGAUUGGAACAAGGCAGGUUGAGGUCAGAGAUUUCCCACUGGCUUCCAGCUGCCAGGAGAGCCACACUACCGAGCGGAGUGCCAAGGGAGAGGCUCCAAAGUUUGCUUAUGGAGGUUUGGGGAGGCUGUGUGAAACCCAUCUCCAGCUUUCCUUGUCAUUGCAACGAAUGGAAGUCUGCGGCUGUGUGCAAAUACUGUCUCUGCAGCAGUACAAGGAGGGAUGCGAGGUGCCAGCACUCAUCCCACCACUGAGAGGAGGAUUCGGUUUCUGGCUGCUGUUGGUAAAAGACAGAUGUACAAUACACAAAGCAAGAGCUGACAUUCAGAAUGUGUGUCACCGUUUGCACUGGGCAGGUUGGUGUAACCGUUUGCAUGUCCGCCUUGCAGUGCAGUCCUGUUGGUGAGUGCAGGAAUCAUUUCCAGCUCUCAGCCCUGCCCUCUCAUCUCUCAUUCUCCUGUUUCCAGUUGCUGAACCCAUCCCCAGCCCGUGACUGUCAGCCUUGGUGCUUCCAUGUCUCUCCUGAAUCCACAGUGUGGAAAAACCAGGCCACAAACAUGUUGAGAAGACAGAUGGAUUUCAGCGAGGCUCAGGGGGCUGCAGAGAGGGUCUGGGUACAGGAAAUUGGCAAAGUAGAUGAGGAGAUGGGAGGAAUUUGUGAUGGUAAGGAAGCAGGAGUGGAGGAGGAAGGAUGGGGGAACAGGCUGGUGCAGCAACGGAGAGGUGCAGCUUAGUCUGAGAGCCAGGAAGGGAGGGCAGGAAAGCUCGCGUGGGCUUUGCUGUUGAGGCAAGGAUGAGGGAUGGGAUGGGCAUCUUAAUGCUUUGGGAAUGGAAAUGGAAGACUUCUUAAGUCUCAAAUGAUAUCCAGUGGGUGUUUCCUGAGCCAGGAGAUGUCCCACCUUGGCCACCACUAGGAAAAAGAGCAGACAGAGAUGGCAACUCUCUUCUUGUCAACAGCACAAAUUGUCAACAGCACAAAGGGAGUUUUUGAGGAAGAGAUAGCUAACCAGUGAGAAGCAUUGGCUAAAUGGUUACUUAAGAAGAUUCAUUUUUCAAAGCCUGUGGUACUCAUGCACUGGAACUAACAGUUUCCAGGUCCAAUCUCCUGCUGGCGGGAGGACGCUGAGAAGUGCAGCUGACAGAUGGGUGUGCUUGCAGCCAAUCUCCCUGCGGUGCCCUGGCAAUGUACGGUGCAGCGCAGUGGAAAAGCACCGUUCAUGGAACAGACUGGAAACGAGAGCACUGACAGUGAGCUGUACUUGGACCAGCUCAGCCAAGCUGUAUUUCUGCACUGCUUAUAAAACCAGAAUUCAAUUUAUACGUGGAGUUCCAGAGUAUCAUCAGGUAGAAAAUAACAACAUGGUCCUAAAUCCUCUUCCCUCCUCUUCACGCAGUCAUAGGGGAGGAUGCUGCAUUACCCCUCGAUGCUAUGGGUGAAUUUCCUUAAGUUUUGUAAGCUGCCAUUUGCAUCCUUUCUUUCCCCUUUUCUAUCACCACAGCUUAUGACAUGUUAACGUUGCUGACAUUGUUCCCAGGUCCAUGGGAUGCCAGUGGGCAUGUCCAUCUUGCCUGGUGCUGCUGCAGUGAAGGACUGCAAACCCACAUGUGCAUUCACGUCUGUAAUGGUUCAGAGACUCCAGAAGAUCAUAUUAAAUUAAAUUAAGGAGAGUAAAAUGUGUAUCAGGGGCAAUAUGAGGUGAUGCUUCAUUUCCAGUGUCCCAACUUGUUAAAAUAAAAAGCAUUCAUUCCAGUUGAAUAUUUAUCACUAAAUUUGAAGCAAAAGUAAAAAUGCCCUUUGGUUUCUCUGCAAGAAAAGUAAAGCCUCAUUGAAAUCUCACCACGGAGGAAUAUUUUUAACAUACAGAAAGUUUCCUGUUUUUAAAGGCAGUAAUGCAAAUUUGAAGUAAGACAAUGUAAAUUAUAGAGUGACUUCAAUGAGCUAUUUUGUGACCUUGCGAUCUUUAGAGCUAUUGAAGGGAGUCAACCGUGCUUCUGGUGGGUGGCUGCACAUGGAACCGAAGGGAAAUAUGUUGUGGGGGUGAGGGUGCCUGGCUGCUGUGAUGCAUAAGUGACGAUUUAGGGUUAGUGAGGAUGUCUGUGUUGCCUUAGUGAUGGCUUCCUGGGAUUUUUUUGGUGGCGUUCACAAGAACUCGAACUGGGGCUUUGUUUUGCAAAUCCAAUGGUGGGGCGUGGGCAAAUCACCCAUAUUUCCCUCUGCUGACUGACUGCCUCUGGUUGCUUCAUCUGAAUCCUGCUCAGUUUAGCUCAUAAAAACCUCUGUUUAUUGAAGUCUCCAGAACUGAGUACUGUAGCUUUUCUGGAUGGGAAUGGGAUGAGGCAAUACACAAACCCAAGAAUCCUUGUGUUUAUUUUGUAUUUAAGAACUCGUCCAAGCCAGCAGCCAGCAUCUGCCACUGCUUCUGUCUGCAUGAGCAGCGGUUACCUUCAGCAUGGACUCGUUGGCUCCUUCAGGCAGUAUGCUGGUAAUGGAAAGAAGCCUCAAACUGUUGUGUCCUGAGACAGCAGCCAUCCCUGCUGCCUUCUCCAAUGGGUCUGAUGCCAUGAGUGUGGGUGGCAGGCAGGUCCCCAGGAGCAGCCUCAGUGCCUGUGGAUCAUUGCAGCACAGCUUGCCUGGCCUGAAAGGCAUCCAUCCAGCUCUUCAGCUAUUAUUAACAAAGGAACAUUUUUCAAAAAGACUUACAGUGUUUGUUUUAAGCUUUCAAUUGACUGCUGUUUAUAUGAUUAUGUAUGAAUGAAGGAAGAAAAAGCUUAAAAAAUGCCCCAGGUUCACCCACCAUAGCAUGGAAAUACACCUCAACUGUUUACAAGUGCUCCUUGUUUUGUGUUCGGAGGCCGGAUCUCUGACUUCCUUUUGGACUAUUCUCCACUGGAAAUGAGGACUCUCUGCCAAAAUAGUCCACCUUUUCCUGCAAGAUUUGGUAUUAAUAGUUCUGACAGAACAUCUUGUUCCUAUGCAGUACAGGAGUCUGUCUCGCAGUAGGUUCUGAAUAGGGGUCCGGUGCAGCAGCAGAGCUGUUUUAUUUUGAGAUGAAAUGUCUACUGCUUAAAUGGAAGAAGCCGGAGUUUAUGCUGCUCGUAACCCACAAUGUAUCUCCAGAACUGGGAGGAAAGCACCAGUUUUAAUGGUGCAGCAGAUUGCUGUGCUCAGUUUCAUUUAAAGAAAGGAGUAAUUUUUAUUAAAGCACAGUAUGGCUUGCAGUGUGUUAGAAACACAGCAUUCCAGUGCCCAGAGAGGGCUUCUCCCCUCCCCCUCCCCAUGACACCAGCACUGUGCCCCCACACACCCCAGCCUGCCCCGAGCUCGGUGCUCCUGUGUGCCUUGGCCGAAGCACCAUCGGGCUCAGAUGCUCUUGACCUAGCACACAUAAUAGGGCAAUCCCAGACUUAGCUGAGGGCUGCUUUGGAAAAGCUUGUGACAUCUCUUAAUUUAUUCUUUCUUGGUUUUCAUUGUUUGAUUUCAGUUGUUUUUCACUCGCAGUCACUGUGGCCAUGACAGGGGAUGAAUGAUCUUUGAUAAGGGUUAUUUGUUUCUUGUGGUAGGCAAAGAAAUGCCAUUUGUAUUCUUGUGAGACUUUUCCCAUCAGAGCUCAGUAAUUGUUGCUGCAGACUGCAGUGCAGUGAGUGCCAUGGCAUUGUGUGCACCGGGACGCUGA